GCCAUCAUAGCACAGUGGUAGUGCAGGGCUUUUGUAAAGCCAAGGUCGGUGGUUCAAAUCCUCCUGAUGGCA
rnacentral:tRNA from 1 species